rnacentral:lncRNA from 1 species
UCUGAAUAGUUGUAAACUUGAAUUUAAAAAGAGAGGUAAACAUACGUGACACAAUAAAAUGUACUCCCUCCGUCCCAUAAUAUAAGACAUUUUUGAAAGCUAUGUUAACUUGCAAAAUGGUUUUAAUUGUGGGAUGAAGGGGGUACUUAAUACAUGAUGAACAUUUUGUAUAGGAGAAGCACUUAGAAAUAAUGGUCAAUUACAUGAUAUAAUUUGGUUCUAUACAAAAGGAAAUUUCAUCUUUUGUGUAUAUAUCCUAGAGACCAUCCCCUUGCAUGAACUCUUCGCCCUUUAAGUCGAAUGGUACAGCUCCUGCCUUUGUAAGAAAGGACUCUGCAAUACCCAUAAUGUCAAAGGAUCGUGUGAUGCAUCUCUACCUGUGCAAGACAAUGAAAAACCAUACAUGCUAUCUACAUACUCUCAUAAUCUAGAAGCAUGCCUUCAGUUGCGUAGAAAGCCAUAAAACAAAAAGUGGCAGAAGACCAAUCAGAAUUAGCUUUUGCCAUGCAGUUCAUGAGCUAAAGUUGAGCACAGUAUAAGUAAAUUUGAUUCGAGCGAUAAAACAAAUUUUAGAAAAUAUGCAUGGAAACAUCUAAACACGGAAGCUGUAAAUUUAUGGAGAAUAAAAGAGAAGAGGCAAAACAAUAAAGGAGUUGUUGGACAUACAGUUCAGAUUGGGUGAGGAAUCGGUUCCAUUGUAGUAGACCGAUAAGGAUUAAAAGCAGAUUAAAGAACCAGAUGUUGAUAUUUUGUUUGACAAGGAGAGCAAUGAACACACUUGUCAAUGCUUUAUUGCUAAGAUGAAUUUACAGAAUGGGCGACAAAAACAACCAACCGGAUGAUACUGUGCUGCGACCCAAAGAAAAAUGGAUAAACACGAAACUAACAGUUAGCGAACCUGAUUGAUAGAGAUGUUGAUGUGUGCAUUUAUACAAUCCUACUUACAUACUUCAAAAUGACAAGCCAGAUCUGUAUAUUGGUAAUAAAUAUGACCUUGUGAGUAUUAGCAUCAGUGUUAAAUCCAGUAUGUCAAUAACAUGAUUAAAUAGCAGAAAACGUAUGAAUGUAUUAAUAGGAUGUAGUUCUUCCAGUCUGAGGGCUGAACUUUUUUAAGUACAACAAAGUGGUGCGAAUAUGUAAAUUCAACCGUUACCAGAACAAAUAUAAUCAAAAGCGACAAGACGAUAACUAUCUAAUCAUUUUAAAGUCUCUUGCAAGCAAAGCUAAAUCAUGUUAAAGUCAGCGAGAAAACAUUUGUUCCAACAUAAAAACAACAAUAUUAGGUUCUUGUUCCACAAGACCACAACAGGUCCUCGAUUUACCAAGCCAUACUAAGAGAAGAAACAAGUAAACAUACUGAGUUUUUCUCUUCAAAAGUGAAAAAAGUAUGUACUGCCAUAGAGCUACACUUACAGUAGAAAUGUAAGUCAGGCCAAAACAGAAGCAAACUUCAUUUGAGAAUUCUCGGAUGCACUGAUAGGAGUCAUAUGUGAGUAGCUUGACUGUGAUCUCCCAUCCACCAGUUUUCUGUAGUAUAAUAUACUGUAAUCUCCCAUCCACCAGUUUUCUGUAAUAUAAUAUGCAAAACCCCUCAGUUUUUAUCAGUAGCAUCUUCAAUUUCUAAUAAAGCAAAUCUAUGUGCUGAUUCUUUAGCUAGUUCACUGAAAUUCCUAAUUUUUCGAGUUCAUCCAUGGUAAGAUCCACAAUCUUCCAUGUUUUAUAUAGGAAAACAUGAGUAAAAUCAGAGAAUGAAGAUACUGGCAAAGGGCCACCAAAACAGAGAAGAGGCAUGUGUAUAUCAGGUCUAAAGCACAUUCAUGAGAAUGUAAAAACAAAUCAGUUAGUAAGCUCGACAAAACAAAUGGCAGUGUGUAACAUGGAGCAAAGGAACAUCAGUUUGGCAGCAUUGUUCGGUACUGCAGGGAUAGGGGGAACAUGACAAUAUGCGUACAUUCAUAGGCAACGUAUAUCAUCGAACCAAGGGGAACAUGACAAAGAUACAUAGAUAUGACGAAAUUUGCACAGGAUGAUCAUCAGUUCUCUCAAGCAAUCGAAUGGCAAUCCUUUUCUAUAGAGGAAAUGACUACAUAUAUUCUCUAAUGAAUGUAUGUACUUCUGUAAUAAACUUAAGAAGUUAUAAGAGCACCACUUCCAGCAUCUCCUCUAUUAGAAAUUUUAUUAUACUCCCUCCGUCCGGAAAUACUUGUCAUCAAUAUGGAUAAAAGGGGAUGUGUCUAGAUGUAUUUUAGUUCUAGAUACAUCUCUUUUUAUCCAUUUUGAUGACAAGUAUUUUCGGACGGAGGGAGUAUAAUUUAUUAAAAGUUUCCACAUUUCCUUUUAGAGGCUUGAAACUACUACAGAAGUCAAAAGAAAAAAAUGUGAAGAUCAUACAUUAAAUUCUGAGUUGCAUCUUUCUAAUGAUGCGAAUUAUCCACAUAAAACCCUCAUUCUAUUUAAGAAGUUCUCAUUUUUUAGUUAUAUACUCGCUUUGCUUAACUAAUCAGGCAUGAAAAUAGGCUGUAUUUUUCAGCAGCUCAUUCGCCCAUUACCUUCUCUCUUUUUUCCAAUUAGCUUGCAAGGUAAAGUCUAAAAACAUGCACAAUGCACUACAGUCACAAAAGUACAGUAAUAGCAAGCAAGAUAUGCAGCUCAUGAAAAAAUUCACACUUAAAUAAAAUAGAUCUUAAUGACACAGAGUGUAUGCAAAAGAACAUCAUCCAAAUCAUUAUUGGGGCAAGAUGGAAACUUCAAAAGAACAUGCAUCACAUAGUAAAAAACUGACAGCAGGAUCAAUAAUUCCAGCCCACUAUGUACAAGAAUAUUGGGUAAGCAUUAGAUUCUGAACCAUUUAUUUUUCAUACCAAUGCACUGAUGCUUCAGGGUUGAUCUCUCUAUUCUGAAUGUUGGGUAAGCAUUAGAGCCACUUGAGUCUUGAGGCUUUAGAGUUCACAUGCUAUAAACUUGAUAUCUAGUCGUAAUUGAAAUAAAAUGAGACCAAAUAUAAACAAUGGCUCCAUAUCUGGUGUGUAGUACAGGGUGGGGUUUAAAAGCAGACUAUAAACAUAGCAUCAAGAUUCACCAACAGCCCAACCUGCAAAAGAUCUGUACAAAAACAUAAUCAAAGUGAAACCAAAUGGAAUCGCAUGUAAUCAGAAGCAGUAGCACCCAGCACCCAUGGAAUAUCUCAAAUACUAACAUGCAGGAAUUUUAAUGUGUUAAGUAAACAUUAAAAAUAAGGCAAGGUCCCAGUGGUAGAUAGAACACUAAUUUUGAAAUUAGAAUGACAAUUAAAAGAACCGUCAUGUGGGAGUAAAGAUAGAGAACUCACGGAAGUGACAUGCCUUCACACUUCAGAUCAAUAUUUUAAAUAGCGGGCUAUGCCAAAUAGCAGCGGACCUCAAAAUCAGCUAUAGCGGGCUAUAGCAGGCUAUAGCGGACUAUUUGUACAUGAAACCAUUUAGUGGCACCCUGCUGAAAAGGCUAUAGCAAGGCUAUAGCGGGGCUAUAGCCGGCUAUUUAAAACUAUGCUUCAGAUCCAUCCUCCAGCCUCAUCUUUGUACUAUUUAUGAAACUCGAGUGGUGCUUUGAUUGUAGACUGCUCAACAUCUAGUAGGAUGUGAACAAAUAAAGUGAUUGAAUAUCAAAAGCAUGCAUGGACCACAAAUCAUGAAAAAACAAAAUAGGAGGACCAACAUGUUCACGAGCCAUGGAAAAUUGUUCUUCACCAAAAUUUACUACAUCUUAUUUCCUUUCUUUUCUUUUGAAAACCUGCACAAUUCAGAGUGUGUAUGUUAUUUCCUUUUCUUUUCUUUCAAAAACCUGGACAAAUCAAAAUAGGAGGACCAACAUGUUCACGAGCCAUGGAAAAGUGUUCUUCAUCAAUACUGAGCCAACCAAAUAGACUCGCUAAUAUGUGCCGAGGUACUUAGUCCAAGCAUGAUUUUGUUUCUAAAACUUCCAUUACAGGCACUAUCACUCAAAAAUCCUAGUAAAAUAGACCAAUAGAGAAAUCUAUAUAAUCCAUGGGAAACCUCAC